rnacentral:rRNA from 1 species
GCAGCAGCCGCGGGAAUACGGAGGGAGCUAGCGUUGUUCGGAAUUACUGGGCGUAAAGCGCGCGUAGGCGGUUAUUUAAGUCAGGGGUGAAAGCCCGGUGCUCAACACCGGAACAGCCCUUGAGACUGGAUAACUUGAAUCCAGGAGAGGUGAGUGGAAUUCCGAGUGUAGAGGUGAAAUUCGUAGAUAUUCGGAAGAACACCAGUGGCGAAGGCGGCUCACUGGACUGGUAUUGACGCUGAGGUGCGAAAGCGUGGGGAGCAAACAAGAUUAGAUACCCGAGUAGUCCCUGUCUCUUAUAC